AGCUCCAAUAGCGUAUAUUAAAGUUGUUGCGGUUAAAAAGCUCGUAGUUGGAUUUCUGUUGAGGGUGGCCGGGUCCCCACUUCGUGGGAGUAUCAAGCUCGUCCUUAGCAUCCUCUUGAGGAUCGUUACUGUGCUUAAUUGCAUGGUGCGAGAUUCAAGACUUUUACUUUGAGGAAAUUAGAGUGUUCACGGCAAGCUCCGCUUGAAUACAUUAGCAUGGAAUAAUAAUAUAGGGCGUAAGUUCUAUUUUGUUGGUUCUGAGGACAUACGCAAUGAUUAAUAGGGACAAUUGGGGGCAUUCGUAUUAACGCGUCAGAGGUGGAAUUCUUAGAUUGCGUUACGACGAACUACUGCGAAAGCAUUUGCCAAGGAUGUUUUCA
rnacentral:rRNA from 1 species